ACACUACUAUUAAACAAGAGAACAUCGUCAGGGGCGGACGAAAACUCUGCCAUCCGGCGUCCCACACCGCGCCUGUUCACGGCUAAAAUUACGGGCCUGCUCCCCAGUCCCCGCAUCUUCUCCUGGAAAAAAAAGGAAGUACUACGCGCCUGUAGCCCGCAUCUCUCGCGAAGUCCGCCCAACCCGCCGCCGCCGCCGCCGCCCCGCCCGGUGCAUGCCAUCCCCGCCGCUCCUCCUACACGCCGCCGCCGCACACCUCUAGACGCCGGGCCGUGUAUCGCGGGUCAUCGUCUGCUCCUCCUCUGCGGUCUCGCCUCAUAGCUCUGUUAGACUUGGGGGAGGAGGCGUCGAUAUGAGUCGCGAGCGAGCUCAUGGAGCGGCCAGCCGGCUAGGCGGUGUCUACCUAGCCCUGGGAACACGUCGAACCACAGCAAGGGGCAGGGGAGGCUUGACAUAACCGAGUUCGUCGGUCAUGGCGGCAAACAGAGCCGGAGCUUGCGGAGCGGCGGUUACAGGUCGAGGAUGAAGACUAAGAGAGAGGGGAAAGGAGGCAGGGAUAACCACGAGGAGGUUCGUGCUUUCGGCACGACUGGAGAAGGCAGGAGCACAAUUAAUCGACGACGGCGGCUUACGGAUGGUGUCAGAGAAGACGACGUCGCGUGCUCUGUGCAGGGCGUCGCAACUCGAUUCGUUCGGCGUGGAGGAUCAAGAGGGCGUGGAGGCUCUCUCAGAUGCUACGGCUUGUCAGGGAUAAACCGCUGGCCAUGGCGCGUGGCGAAGAGGGAGUUCGAUGAUGAGCGGAGGGCGCACCAGAUUGAGGCAGGUAACAAAUGCAUUGACUCUCCCCGGCGCAUCGGCAGUUACAUCUAGCGCACGCGGCCAGUGUGUCGACGGGCGGCUAUAGGAUGCGUGCGGCAGCCUGGGUGUUCGCGUUGUGGUGGCAGCGCAGUGCCGUGCACGCCAGUCAGUGCGUCAACGACCGGCUAGAAGAGGCGUGCGACAGCCUAGGCGUUCGCAUUGUGGUUGCUGUGCAGUGUCGUACGGCCGGGACAACCAGGGCGCGCAGGGCCGGAGCCAGCUAGGUCGUUCGGCGGCCGGCGGAUUUGGGGCGCUGCAGCCGCCCGGCAUGCUGCGUGUGUGAUGUUGUCGGCGUGUUGUGCAUUAGUGUUGUCUGCGGCUGCCGGCAGGCUGUGCGCGCAGCUGGCCAGCGUGUGUGAGCCCUUUCAGUUGAGCUGAGUCCUGGUAUCCUUGGAAACAUUUUUGAUGAAAUCCAGGUAAGUUCAGCAUGAUAAUCAUUCCAUUUCUGUUAAAUUUGCAGCACCCCCUAAAAACUAUUGCUAUUAGAUCUGAAGACGAUGCACCCUGGUAAUUUAAGCCAAAAAAGCUGGGUAAUGCGUUUGGCAUAUUUUAACUGUGAAUGAGGGACAUCUUGUUAAUCGUUAGCAGGCCCUCUAAAACAUCUCCUUUUUAUUAUUUGCUUUAGCUGUUGGAGAUGUUCUCACCGGUGAAGAUCUAUAUGCUGUAAGUCUUAUGAUGUUGAAUUUUCUUUUAUGGAUAUUACUGUACAAAAUGAUGGCAGCUUUGGGCCUGCACCCACAUGCUAAUGUUCGCUGACUCUAUGAUAGACUGUCUUUGAGAACAAUUUGACGAACCACCAUGUAUAUAGCGAAUAAGUUUCUUUACAAGUUGUUAAUCCAAUUUUUAUCUCUGAUCUAUUUACUAAUACUGUUAAAAAAAUGUUUGUUUGGAUGCAAUAUGUUCUGAAAAGACCCUUGGCCAUUACUCAUUAGGUUUUGUCUCCACUCCUAUUUCACUGUAUGAUGAAAUAAUUAUGGAUGUUUCUUGCAAAUACUUGGUCAUUAGGUGUCAUAGUUGUUAAUUUAGUGUUUGGAAGUAACCAGGGAUACUAAAAUUAUCAUUAGGUGUUGUUUCCAUUCUUUAUUGAUCAUAUGGGGAAAUCUAUCUGACUUUUUCUUAUUUCUGAAAGUUUAUGAUGAUUUUGGGCAUACCAAGCUUAAAGAAGAUAUCUCACAAGUAAGUUUGAUAUACUCUGGAUACAUCUUGAUAUGUAUGAUAUCCUCACUGCUUUUAGGGUGACACUGUGAACUUGGGCUUUUUGGAUGGAAAAAAAGUUGAUCCAAACCGACACCAUGUAUUCUUAUGGAUUUAUGCUUUGUCAGUGUAAUCUCCAAUUUCAUUCACAUGUAUACCAUUACUCUUCUCAUGGUCUUGCAGAUGCAUCGUGUCUAGCUUUUUAGCCUUACAAAUUAGAGGUUUUGAUUGAUACAUGCAUAUUAUUGGAAUAUUUGGUGCUUUGAAAAGACUAUGGGUGGAGUCAACAAACUGACUGAAUGUAUGAAAGAAAUCCAAGACUCUUUGUCAGCUUCUCUUGGAGCUUCUGCUAAUUUCAACAAGGUAAUAUUUAAGAUUUAUUACAAUCUUGUAUUUAAUUAUUUUAUCUGAAUCACUUACAUCUAUACUAUUACACACAAAAAACUUGCAUGAUUAAACAGAGGAGGAACUUAAAGAAUUGGAGUGAGCAGUGUGUGUCUGUUAGAUCGAUCUGUAAAUCUUAGUCUACUUGCUGAUUUCAUAGGACUAAUUCACUGGUGCACGGUGAAUGCUCUAGCAUACACAGGUGGAUUUUCCCAUAUAAUUGUAAUAUUAGUCAAGACGUGCAUUGCACGUGCACGCUUACUAGUGCUAUGAAAUUGAAGAAACAACGGCGAACGCAGGUUGGUAUUUAGGGAUCAGAAUUUAUGGGCUUCCGUUGUAUCUUUGGACUUGAAAAGCAAUAGAUCUCAUAUUGGAGCCAUGCUGCAUUAUUGAAGACGUUGAUUGGUCCAACCUUAGCUUCCAUUACAUUCGGCUCGGUAAAUUGCACGGCUUGGGCUGUUAACGGGUUGUUAACCUUAGCUCCCAGGACUAAGGUGUGCCACUGUUCCUACUAAUUUGUAAUUUUGUAUCCUCUCUCUAUCCCACUCCUUUUUUUUGCGAAUACUCUAUCCCACUCCUUUCUUCUGAGUUAA